GACUUGAUUAGAUUGAGCCUUGGUAUGGAAACCUGCUAAGUGGUAACUUCCAAAUUCAGAGAAACCCUGGAAUUUAAAAGGGGCAAUCCUGAGCCAAAUCUCUUUUUUUUUAUUAUUUUAAGAAAACAAAGGAUAGGUGCAGAGACUCGAUGGAAGCUGUUCUAACGAAUGGAAUUGGCGUUGACUACGUUGCAUUGGUAGUUGGAAUCCCUCUAUUGAAAUUAGAGAAAGGAUGCCCCUAUGUACGUAUAUAUACAUACUGACAUAUCAAACGAUUAAUCACGACUCGAAUCCAGAAUCCAUAAUAAUCCAUAUUAUGAUUAUAUCAUAUUAUUAUUAUAAUUAUUUAUUAAUUAAUAUAUUAAUUAAGAGUUCUUAUGAAUCCAUCCCAGUCGAAGUUGAAGGAAGAAUCGAAUAUUCAGUAAUCAAAUUAUUCAUUCCAGGGUCGGAUAGAUCUUUUGCAAAAAUGAUUAAUCUGACGAGAAUAAAGAGAGAGUCCUGUUCUACAUGUCAAUACUGACAACAAUGAAAUUUAUAGUAUGAGGAAAAUCCGUCGACUUUAGAAAUCGUGA
rnacentral:ncRNA from 1 species